CAGCAGCCACGGUAAUACGUAGGGUGCGAGCGUUAAUCGGAAUUACUGGGCGUAAAGCGUGCGCAGGCGGUUGUGUAAGACAGGUGUGAAAUCCCCGGGCUUAACCUGGGAACUGCGCUUGUGACUGCACAGCUAGAGUAUGGCAGAGGGGGGUGGAAUUCCACGUGUAGCAGUGAAAUGCGUAGAGAUGUGGAGGAACGCCGAUGGCGAAGGCAGCCCCCUGGGCCAAUACUGACGCUCAUGCACGAAAGCGUGGGGAGCAAACAGGAUUAGAUACCCCCGUAGUCCCUGUCUCUUAUAC
rnacentral:rRNA from 1 species